rnacentral:lncRNA from 1 species
AAAUCACGAGACCAACACGCGAUAACAAUCCACUAUGAAAUAAAAGAUUACAAGGUGAUUUACCGAAUCCACGGACUCAAACCUCUCUUUUAUCUUCUCCGGAUCUCACGCACACCAACGGGUUGUCCACGCCCCACAUCCGAAUCCACGAACGCCACGUCCCGAAUCCACGAAGCCUUGAUCACGCCGAAUCCACAACGCCCACUCGAAUCCACGAGCACACUCCGUCCGGAGCAAGAACAAUACGAUCGAUGAUGAUUUAUUGCUUAGAUAAUCAUUAAAGAACCGUAGAAGAUGUUUCUAAGCAAGAGCCGGAUCAAUUCUCCAUGAAGAACAAGAAAUUAGGGUUUUAAGAAUUGAUCUGAUAAAAAUUGUUGUUGGAGAAAGAAAGAGAACACCCAACAAGCUUCUAGGGUUUCAAAAUGAUAUUCUAUGCUUAGCCAUGUUUUAGAAACACCCCUACAUCUUAUUUAUAGGUUUAGAAGACUUAGAAAUAGACUAGGAUUUGAAAAACCGAUCUUUAAAAAACAAAAGACGGUCUCAGGGUCCGGACCUUACGUAGGGUCCGGACCUUGAAGGUCCGGAUCUUGACUUCAGGGUCCGGACCCUCCCUGCGUAACCACAAAUACAACGUACGGGGUCCGGACCUUAACUCGAGAGUCCGGACCCUCGCUGCGUGUUUGAAAAUCCGAUCUACGGGGUCCGGACCUUAGCUCUAGGGUUCGGACCCUCGCUGCAUACACGCAGAGAGGACCUUCGGGGUCCGGACCUUGAUCCCAGGGUCCGGAUCUCGAACCUUGAAAAACUCUGUUUUGAAAUAUUAUCAUUUUAAACCUAUUCUAAUGUCUUCUAAACACUUGAAAAUAUUAAUAAAUCAUCAUCAAUAGUAUUUAAACUUAUCGAGCAUUGUGGAUCUAUGUUUUCAGUCUUCGAGUCUUCGAUCUUUGUCCAUUCUUCUCUAAUCUUUCAAGACUCCAACUUACUUCACGAAAUAUACCAACAUAAAAUCCGUAACAAUCUCCCCCUUUGGUAAUUUUGUGACAAAACUCAAAAAUACAUCAAAAUACUCACAACGCUUAACUCUCCAACCAAAAAAAAAUGAAAUUCAUUGCCAUCACCAAAACAAUGAACUUCUCAUGUGAAAAAUCCAAAGAAAAUAUAAAAUUACAAUUUUGCAACCCCUAAACAAACUCUAUGACUUAAACACAAGGAGUCUUGAAGUCUUCAAGAAUCUGCAGAAAGAAUACUUUCUUCUCGAACAAAGUUAGUAAAAAAAAAUGAAAAUCUCUCCCCCUUUGUUCAUGAAAAUCUCUCCCCCUUUGUUCAUGCGUCUAAUGAUCAAUAAAAUCUAAAAUCUCACUUCUCUUCCCUUUUUUGUCAAAAAUUGCCAAAACGAAGUACCAAAAUAGAGAGAGUACCAAUAAUGUUAGUGCAUGAAUAGUAUAAAUUCACAUAGACUUCAUUCAAUCCACAUCAAUUUCAUAGAAAUUAAGAAUUUCACUAUAAGAUCACCAAGAUGUAGAUAAAAUAUACUAAAAUUUUUUUAUUCAUAUAUACUUCAAAAUCAAGUCAUCAAAAAUAAUCUAAAGGCUCAAAAUCUAUCAAGAUAUAACGGAUUAUAAAGAUGACUUAUGAAGAUUCACCAAAUGACAGAAAUUUGUCGCAUAAACGUUCAAAUUCAAGAUUAAGCAAUAAUGUACCAGGGGUGGCUCUUUGAGCAUCUUUUUACUAAACCACCUUAUUACACCAAAAACUCUUUAUAUAAUAUGAACAUAUUUUCAACCUUUUCGAUUAUGCACUAGAAUUUCAUGUGGUAGCUUCACAUACUUACCGGACGACCGGGGUGAUAGCUCUUUUCUAUAUGUGGUAGUAGUUUUCACACUCCUUUUGGGAUGUAACUCUUUCCACAUCUUUUAAGCACUUGGAGUGUUUAACCUUUUUCAUUCAUUCAUUUUUUAUGUAUAACUCCCCCUUAAUUAUGCAAUCUCUUAUUUGAAAGAAAAAUUUGAUAAGUUUUAGUCUAUUAGCAAUUUUUCAUUCAUCAAAUUCAACACACACAACCGAGAUAGGUUAAGUGUCUAAAGAUUACACAUGAUUACUCAAAUUUGAUGAAUAUAAGAAUUAAGAUAUUCUAUUAUAAAUUAUCUUCAUAAAUAGUGAUAAUGAAGUGAAACCGAUAAUUAAUAUGAAAUUAAUGAAUGUAAAUUAUCAGUGUUCAACGCACUAUUUAAUGUUUAAUCACCGAAUGAAUCUCAAAAAAUUUGAAGCACAUGUAAUGCAAUGAUCAAAAGAUAUGUAAUAAAACCGAUCAUAGCAAAACAUAAAGUCAAACACAAAUUAAGACUUAAGACAAGGAAAGUUAUCACAUUUUCGAAUCCAAACUUGCCGGAUUAUUGGUUGUCUUGAUUUGUUGCGGUCGGGUACCGAUGGUUUAAACGUUGGUUGAUCCGAGGUACUCGACUCGAUUGAUGUUGCUUUGGAAUCCGUAGGGGAAGUCGAGUAUUGGAAGAUGUCGAUAGAUGCUUAGACAAUGCCGGUUGAUGUUUCUUUUUCUUAUUAGGGCAUGUUUUCUUUAUGUGUCCUUUGCAACCACAUCUAUGGCAAAUUUUCUCUUUCAAAUUUGUUGAGACUUUAUGAAUUGCCUUUUGAUCCUUCUCAACAUAAGUCCUUUCAUAACCAAGCCCAAGUUUAUCCGUUUGACCCAAUCCGAGCAUAUGGUCUAGCUUUUUUGACCCGGAGGAAAACUUUUGAAUGUCGGAUUUAAGAUGAUAAACUUGUUUGGUCAAAACUUGAUUGGAUGAACGAAUUUCUUCAUAUUGUUGUUCUAGAAAACCAACCUUUUCUUGAUGUGAUUUGAUCGUUAUCUCUGAUUGGUUGAGCUUCUCUUGGAGAAUUGUAUUAUUAUUCAAUACUUGCUCCCUUUCCUCCUCAAGAGUUUUAGAUGCAUUCUUCAAGUCAGUGUUCUCAUCUUCAAGCUCAAGUAGUCGUUUUCUUAGCCUUUUGUUAUUCUUGGCCAUCUUCUUUGAUUCUUUGAGAAGUUGUUGGUAUGCCUCGGCCAAGCUUUCAUCAUCCGACUCCCCCUCACUCUCGCCAUCAUCGCUCGACGUUCCAUGUAAGGAAGUAGAAACAAAAGAGUCAGAAAUAAUUGAAGAUAAACAAAAAGUCGAAGAGGAAGGUAUAAAGGUUUGAGAACUUAAAGCAACAUUAAUUUUCUCCUCUUCACUUGAGGUCGGUUCGUCAGAAGUAGAAUCGUCCCAAGUUUUUGCUUGCAAAGCCUUUUGUUUGUAAGAUCUUUUAGAAGGACAAUCCGUGGAAAUAUGGCCGUAGCCUUUACAUUUGUAACAUUGGAUUUUCCCUUCAAAAUCAUCUUUUUCUUUAGAAGGUUUUGCAAGUUUUUUGUCUUUCAAUUUAGAAAUCGAAGAUUGUUUAGAAAACGAUUUUUGUUUCGAGGAUGAAGCUUUGUUUUUCCGAAAGUUCCGUCGAAAUUUCUUCGUUAAGAGCGUCAGUUGAUGUUCAAAAUCAGCAAGCGAAAUAUCUUCGUCGGAAUCCGAGUCGUCGUCUCCUUCCUUUGUAGAUUUGAGUGCAAUCCCUGUACUUUUAGAAAAAGACUUGGAAGAAGAAUGGUUAGUAGGAAAAGUCAUCUCACAAGUUUGCAAAGCACCUACUAACUCUUCGACUUUCAUCUCAUUCGGAUGCUUUACAGUUUCGAUCGCGGCAACUUUUGCCCGAAAGCGUUCCGGAAGAGUGCGAAGGAUCUUUCUAACAAGUUUAGCAUCCGGGAUUUUCUCUCCCAAGUUCGCGCAUGUAUUAACAACGUCUUGUAGACGCGUAUAGUACUCGGUAAAGGUCUCGUUUUCUUCCAUAAAAAUCUAGUCAAAUUUACUUAUUAACAUUUAUAAUUUUUGGAUAUUUACUAAGCUAGUUCCUUCAUGCGUAACUUGUAGAGUAUCCCAAAUCUCUUUGGCGGUACUAUACACCGAAACACGAGUAAACUCCAUUUGAGACAAUGCAUUAAAUAAAGCGUUUAUGCCCUUGCCGUUAAACGAAGAUGACUCGUUCUCAUCUUUGGUCCACUUGUUCCGCGGUUUAGGGACGGUAGCAUUAUCGACAACUUCGGUAGGAUGUUUCCAUCCGAAUUCAAUUGCUUGCCAAACCCGUUCAUCGAUUGCAAUUAGAAAAGCUCUCAUGCGAAUUUUUCAAUAGGCAUAAUUCGUGCCAUCGAAGAGAGGUGGUCGAUUAAUGUUACCGCCUUCGGCCAUUAGAAAUCAAUUUAUCUAGAUCCCUGCUCUGAUACCAAUUGAAAGAAUUGAGGGAGCCCUAGGAUCUUUUAUCUAGAUACUAUCAAACACCUAGAGGAGGGUGAAUAGGUGUAAUAGCAAAAAACCACAACUCUCAAUGCGAUAAAAUAAAUGCGGAAAAUAAAAAUCACACCGAAAUUUACGUGGAAAACUCCAACUAGGAGUAAAAAACCACGGGACCAACACACGAUAACAAUCCACUAUGAAAUAAAAGAUUACAAGGUGAUUUACCGAAUCCACGGACUCAAACCUCUCUUUUAUCUUCUUCGGAUUUCGCGCACACCAACGCGUUGUCCACGCCCAGCGUCCAAAUCCACGAACGCCACGUCCCGAAUCCACGAAGCCUUGAUCACGCUGAAUCCACGACGCCCACUCGAAUCCACGAGCACACUCCGUCCGGAGCAAGAACAAAACGAUUGAUGAUGAUUUAUUGCUUAGAUAAUCAUUAAAGAACCGUAGAAGAUGUUGGAUCAAUUCUCCAUGAAGAACAAGAAAUUAGGGUUUCAAGAAUUGAUCUGAUAAAAACUUGUUGUUGGAGAA